AGAGCCUGCGAUGGAGGGGAGGGGAGAGGGGACCAAAUUAGCUCAGAUUCUAUACAGUUCACAGAACAGGCUGUUUUUCCUUGUUUGUUUUUAGAUAUAAGAGCCAAAAAAAAUUGGGGAGAAGGGCAAAGAUGUCAACGAAAAUAGUCCAUAGUUCUGAAGUGGAGAGAGUUGUAGGCACUCUUCAACAUGUCAGAUCUUUGGCUAUCUCUAUUCACUUUAAGACUGAAGCACCGAAAACUACCAGGAAGCUCCAGAGCAUGUGGAUAUGGCCAUGGGGUGGUGAGGGAUCUUAGUUCCAAGACCAGGGAUCGAACCCAGGCCACCGUGGUGAAAGCGCCAAGUCCUAACCACUAGACCACCCAGCAACUCCCCUGAACAUAGUGCUGGGGACUGAGUGCUGAACUAAGCAGACAAAGACCCCAGCCUUCAUGAAACUCGCUGUCUUCAUGUUUCACCCACAGAUGCUUGGGGUGCAUCAGAGUCUUUAGAAACAAGAGGAUCCCAUUCUAAUGCAGGUCCCAGCAAAGUGCAGGAGGGAGAAGGAGAAAACAAAUGUAAUAAAUGCCUCCUUCCUGCCAACUGGUCAAUUUUGGAAAUUUGCACCUCAAAGUAGAUGGUUUCACAUGCCGUGCCCACCCCCCCUUCUUGCCCCCCACUGGAGCAGCAGGUGAGAACCAUGGGAGUAGAUCCAGGGAAAGGCAAAUGGUGCAGAUCUUUGAUGAGGCUGGAGAGGGGUGGAGGGAGGGUGAAAAGCCCCAGGAGAACUCCAACUCCCACAGGGAGGCUUUAAAAGGCAUCUUUCUCUUGAAGAUCAAAAAAUCAUGAAGCUUGGGAGGAAUCUUAGAGCUCAUAUCUCCCAACCCUCUGUGACAAGGACACAUCGGGCUGGAGGGGAGAGGGGACCUCUCAGGUCCAGCGGCCAGCUAGUACAAAAUUGGGGAACAAGGAGUCCCAGGGCUCGAUGCUCUUCCUCCUCAGGGAGCCACGGACCUGGAGGAAAACGUGAUGCUCCCAAAGCAGGCACAGCCCCUGACCCACCUUCACCUGAUCUUACCCCCUGACUUACUGUGGCCCCUCCUGCAAGGGAUGGAACAUUGCAGGAGGGCCAGGCCCACCCAGUGAGCAACCUCAUUCCAGGGACCUGUGGCCUUGGGCUCUCCAGGUGCCCUGGGGCAGGCACUGCUCCUCUAGCCUAAACUGGGAAAAUGGAAACGUCCCCCAGUUGUUCAGAGGUGGCCCUUAGCCUGGUGUUAGGAGGCUGCCUCACUCAGACCCUCUUCUCAGCAACGAGUCUUCCUCUUUCCCACUUUGAAGAUGACAACAGCAUCAUCUGGGUCCUUCCUAUACAUACUCCAGGAGGCCGUGAGACUCAGAAGGUAACUUGGUAAUGGGGCCUGCAUCUCACCUGUCUACCCACAGAAAGCCUGUCAGCAAAGGGGGAAUCCCUCCCUCUGCUCCAUUCAUUUCAUUCCAUCCUGCGAACAUUUGCUGUGACAGGUGCUGGUGGAAGAGGAAAAUGAGAGACCGUCCCUAUUCUCAAGAAUCAUAAUUUAACCAGCAGGGCAUACACACAAACUUCACAGAGAGUGGUUUUCCCUUCCAUCCUCCAGUCCAUCAUCUAGUUCUCCCCUUCUCGAGCAGCAGCCCCUCCCUGCCCUGCAAUUCUGUAGAGAUCCCAGUCAUGAUAUCCUGGUGUUCUGCCCUGGGGUCCAUGUGGAAGCUGGAGAAUGUUGGGCUCAGUGUCACCAAUAGACCUGUUGUGUUUGAUCCAUGUGGGGUUUUAUUUUUAUUUUUGUUUUUGUUUUUUGGUCUUUUUGGGGCCACCCCUGAGGCAUAUGGAGAUUCCCAGGUUAGAGAUGGAAUCAGAGCUGUAGCCACUGGCCUACACCACAGCCACAGCAAUGUCAGAUCCGAGCUCUGUCUGUGACCUACACUGCAGCUCACGGCAAUGACAGAUCCUUAACCCACUGAGUGAGGCCAGGAAUCGAACCUGUGUCCUCAUGGAUGCUAGUCAGAUUCCUUUCCACUGAGCCACGACGGGAACUCCCCCCCCCCCUUUUUUUAUUUGUUUAUUUUUUAAUUCAAGCCAACUUUUAAACAUUUGGAAGUUUCAUAUAAAAAUAAUGAUCACAAGUUUGUCUUAAAAAUAGGGAACCCUGGCAACAUUGGGCCUUUGCUGAACUGGAGCUGAAAGCAUCUGCCCCCUUAAUGAAGAAAUCAGUUCAUCCACAAAACUACAGGAUUGCAUGUCAAGAGGGCAAGAAAGGAAAUGAGGCUCAUCCAGCUGAUGCGUCCUUUCCUUAACAUCUGAUGGGAUGGACCUUGUGGCCCUUUCCAAAUCUAUUUUAUGAUUAACUAUUUCAUGCUCUUAUAAAGUAUGCCAGCUUUUGAUUCCAAGGCUGUGCUUGGCUUUGCCAGCCUGAGUGUCGGGACACCCUCCCUGCUCUGAUGAUCACCAGGUGAUUCUUGGCAGGGUCAUGAUUUGCCUUUGUUUAUAAAAUAAAACUUGUGAUUUUGUUCUUUUAGGGAAAUGGGGUAUAGUGAGUGUCCAGCUACUGGAUACAUCCCCCAUCUGUCCUGCAAUCAUACUCCUAUUACACAAUAAAGACUUAUUUUGAAUUAUAAAUCUUAUAUUCCAUACUCCCCUUUAGACAAACAUAGACAUUUUAGUUUGACACAAUCCCUGCUAGUAUUUAUUGCCUCCUUAAUGCUGGGGUUGACUUUUGGUUGCCUUUUAUUAUCAUCCUCCUAUUGUUAAACAAUUGUGCUUUUUUUUAUGAUAGUGAAAUAUUUUUCUUUACGCAUAUUCUCAUGUCUCCCUAAAGGUGGUAAGGCUGAAAGCUAGACAGAGGAAGCCAUGUACCUAAAAAAACUAGAAGGUAUUUCUUUGUGGAAUAAAAGCUUUUUAUAUGCUU
rnacentral:lncRNA from 1 species